CUUGUAGGUAUUCCCACAAAGCCUUAUGGUUUUGGUAAGGCGGCCUCCCUGUGAUCGGUGUCUCCCAGCCAUUGGCUAUCAUGGAUCCCUCCCAGGCCAAGAGAGUGGUAGCUUUUACUAGAUUUUCUGGGCUCAUAUGCCAACGGGAAUCUCCUGUCAAAGACCAGGUUCGGCAGAAACACGGCCUUCGGGUGCACGUGCCGUAUCAAGGAGUUGGGCUGGUGGACCCCUCCCCUAUCAGACACCCCACCCCCACUGCUCAGGAAUUUGACCGUAUUUCACAGUGACAGUCUUUACUUCUGAUUCUCCGGGGCUGGAGUAGUACCGGCAUGAGACUUGUUCCUCCUCUCACGUCUAUUCUCCUUCAAGCAGAAAGCCAAUAAAAAGAAAUGCAGCUCUCUGUUAGCCAUUUUGGGUUGUUUUCUGGUGCAACCCCCAAUCCCUCCAUGUGUCCAUGGAGAAGGACACCGGCCUCUUGAGCAGCCUCACCCUCUGAGUUCUGGGCGGUGGCUGCCAGUGAAGAGGGCAGCUCAUUGUGACCCUGGGGACGACGGGGGACGGGCUGUGGUGCUUGGGGUCCGUGGAAAAGAGUUCGAGAUGGUGAAUUGCUUUACCCUCUGAAAGAGAAGGGGAGGGGUGCUGUACAUUUCACACCACUGAUGAGCCCAAGAGGAGGGGUCUGUGCUCUGUGAAUAGGUCAAUGUGCCCAGAGUUCCAGAAGCUUCUACCUGACUCAGUGCUCCAAGGAAUGUACAUAUAUAUAUGUAUAUGGCUGGGCAUGGAAGGCAGCCUUCUCCCGCCAAAUGGAAGAGGGGCUCACAAUUUGCAAAUGCUUUCCUGCGUGAUGGCUCAUGUGGUCCCUGUGAGAACCCUAUAGGUCCUGGUGUCACAGCUUGUGAGUUCGAGCCCCCCAUCGGGCUCUGCGUUGGCAGUGCAGACCCUGCUGGGGAUUCUCUCUCUCUCUCUCUCUGCCCCUCCCAAGUCACACUGUCUCUCUCUCUCUCUCUCAAAAUAAAUAAAUAAAAACAAAAAAUGAA